rnacentral:rRNA from 1 species
GAUGAACGCUGGCGGCGUGCUUAACACAUGCAAGUCGAACGGAAAGGCUCCUGCUUGCAGGGGUACUCGAGUGGCGAACGGGUGAGUAACACGUGGGUGAUCUGCCCUGCACUUCGGGAUAAGCCUGGGAAACUGGGUCUAAUACCGGAUAGGACGAUGGUUUGGAUGCCAUUGUGGAAAGUUUUUUCGGUAUGGGAUGAGCUCGCGGCCUAUCAGCUUGUUGGUGGGGUAAUGGCCUACCAAGGCGUCGACGGGUAGCCGGCCUGAGAGGGUGUACGGCCACAUUGGGACUGAGAUACGGACCAGACUCCUACGGGAGGCAGCAGUGGGGAAUAUUGCACAAUGGGCGCAAGCCUGAUGCAGCGACGCCGCGUGGGGGAUGACGGCCUUCGGGUUGUAAACUCCUUUCGCUAGGGACGAAGCGCAAGUGACGGUACCUGGAGAAGAAGCACCGGCUAACUACGUG